rnacentral:lncRNA from 1 species
AUCCCAUUAAACCGGCUUCCGCUGCCGGAGCCGCCGGAGCCGGAGGUGGAGCUUGAGUGACAAAAACUUGAGGUUGGGGUUGGGGUGGAGGAUACCCUUGAUAACUUGGUUGAUAACCCGGUUGAGGAUAUCCUAUGUAAUUUUGUCACCAAAUUAAUUCGUAAAUUAAGAAUUAAUUUAAAAAUUAGCCACAGAUAUAUUCUCCAUAAAAACAAACAAUUAAUAACAAAUCAUAAUUUUUAAUAUACAUAUGUAAUGUAACAGUAUAUAGAAUAAAUCAACAACAGUAAUCAAGGUAAUUAAAUGCACCUUGUGCAGGAGGUGGAGCAGAAACGUUAACAUUUACUGACGGAGGAUUUUGAUUGUAGUAAGCCAUGUCUCACUUCACUUUUUGGAUUUUUUUUCACCCUUAAUUUUCAAAGUUUCUCAAACC